rnacentral:rRNA from 1 species
UGAGGAAUAUUGGUCAAUGGAGGGAACUCUGAACCAGCCAUGCCGCGUGCAGGAUGACUGCCCUAUGGGUUGUAAACUGCUUUUAUACAGGAAGAAACACUGGUACGUGUACCAGCUUGACGGUACUGUAAGAAUAAGGAUCGGCUAACUCCGUGCCAGCAGCCGCGGUAAUACGGAGGAUCCAAGCGUUAUCCGGAAUCAUUGGGUUUAAAGGGUCCGUAGGUGGAUAAUUAAGUCAGAGGUGAAAUCCUGCAGCUCAACUGUAGAAUUGCCUUUGAUACUGGUUGUCUUGAGUUAUUGUGAAGUGGUUAGAAUAUGUAGUGUAGCGGUGAAAUGCAUAGAUAUUACAUAGAAUACCAAUUGCGAAGGCAGAUCACUAACAAUCGACUGACACUGAUGGACGAAAGCGUGGGUAGCGAACGGG